ensembl:snoRNA
GGCCUUCGUGUUGCCCAUUCGCCUUUGGAAACUGGCGAACGUGGUGUCAAGGAGGGCGUACAUUGACUGCUUGGCAGGCUUUUCCAGCCCUGAGAUUCCAUAUCUCUGGUGCAGGAUCUGCACAAGUGACAGUU